rnacentral:lncRNA from 1 species
CCAUUAUAAAGAAAGGGAAACUCUGUCCAAUUGAUAUCACCCUUGUACUGAAGACUUAUAAUAAAAAGGUGACUGUGGUCCGGAACUUGGAGACCUAUGGUCUAGAUCCAUGCUCAGUGGCCGCCAUUCUCCAGCAGCGAUGUCAGGCCAGCACCAUCGUCUCUCCUGCCCCUGGGGCCAAAGAUAGUCUGCAGGUGCAGGUCCAGGGAAACCAGAUCCACCACCUCGGCCAGCUAUUGCUUGGAUGCCUGUUGGAGAGGGGCAGAACUGGAUAAGCUUUGAAGAGCCCCUGCAGCCUGAAGCCACGUGCAUUGCGAGAUACACAAGCAACACUGAAAGGUAGGUGGUGGUUUCCCUAGCAACCAUUUGGUUUCCGAAAAGCCAGCAGAUUGAACAGGGGAAAUACUGGUCAUUCCACAGGAGUUCUGAUCCCAGACGGAAAAUCUCCAGAGCCAUGGUGUGGUGGGUUAGCAGGAAUCAAACCCUGCACAGACACUUCGUGGAAGAGACUUUGUGCCACAUCUGUUAACUGCUGGGCAGGCACAGGUGGACACAUCAGAGGUGCCUUGAGAAUAACUGUUCAUUGCAAAAUAAUUAACAAAAUAAAUUGGAGGGCACUGAGAGGACAGGAAGUAAGCUGGUUACCCAGGCUUCCCUUGGGACUCUCGUAAGGCCUCCUCCAGUUUCUGCCGGAA